AGAGUUUGAUCCUGGCUCAGGACGAACGCUGGCGGCGUGCCUAAUACAUGCAAGUCGUGCGGACCUUUUAAAAGCUUGCUUUUAAAAGGUUAGCGGCGGACGGGUGAGUAACACGUGGGCAACCUGCCUGUAAGACUGGGAUAACGCCGGGAAACCGGGGCUAAUACCGGAUCGUUUUUUCCUCCGCAUGGAGGAAAAAGGAAAGGCGGCUUCGGCUGCCACUUACAGAUGGGCCCGCGGCGCAUUAGCUAGUUGGCGGGGUAACGGCCCACCAAGGCAACGAUGCGUAGCCGACCUGAGAGGGUGAUCGGCCACAUUGGGACUGAGACACGGCCCAAACUCCUACGGGAGGCAGCAGUAGGGAAUCUUCCGCAAUGGACGAAAGUCUGACGGAGCAACGCUGCGUGAGUGAAGAAGGCCUUCGGGUCGUAAAACUCUGUUGCCGGGGAAGAACAAGUGCCGUUCGAACAGGGCGGCGCCUUGACGGUACCCGGCCAGAAAGCCACGGCUAACUACGUGCCAGCAGCCGCGGUAAUACGUAGGUGGCAAGCGUUGUCCGGAAUUAUUGGGCGUAAAGCGCGCGCAGGCGGCUUCUUAAGUCUGAUGUGAAAU
rnacentral:rRNA from 1 species